GAUGAACGCUGGCGGCGUGCCUAAUACAUGCAAGUCGAGCGGACAGACCGGGGGCUUGCUCCGCUGACGUUAUAAGCGGACGGGAGAGGACCACGUGGAUAACCUACCUAUAAGAAUCGGAUAACUACGGCAAACGUGAGCUAAUACCGGAUAAUAUAUUGCACAGCAUGAUUCAAUAGUGAAAUAGGGUUUUGCUGUGGCUUAUACAUAGAUCCGCGCCGCAUUAGCGAGUUGGUAAGGUGACGGCUUACCAAGGCAACGAUGCGUAGCCGACCUGAGAGGGAGAAGGAGCACACUGGAACGGAGACACGGCCCAGACGCCAACGGGAGGCAGCAGUAGCGAAUCCGGCGCAAAGCGCGAAAGAAUGACGCAGCAAGGCCGCGUGAGUGACGAAGGUCUUCCGCGCGUAAGACGAAGGUACUAGGGAAGAAAAACUGUUUACGUAGCGAUGCACGUAAUGACGGUACCUAAUCAGAAAGCAACGGCUAACUACGUG
rnacentral:rRNA from 1 species